rnacentral:rRNA from 1 species
CCUACGGGGGGCAGCAGUGAGGAAUAUUGGUCAAUGGGCGCGAGCCUGAACCAGCCAAGUCGCGUGAGGGAAGACGGUCCUAUGGAUUGUAAACCUCUUUUGUCGGGGAGCAAAAGACGCCACGCGUGGCGUUCCGAGAGUACCCGAAGAAAAAGCAUCGGCUAACUCCGUGCCAGCAGCCGCGGUAAUACGGAGGAUGCGAGCGUUAUCGGGAUUUAUUGGGUUUAAAGGGGGCGAAGGGGGAAGUUUAAGUCAGCGGUAAAAUUGAGGGGCGCAACCUCUGCGAGCCGUUGAAACUGGUAGUCUUGAGUGAACGAGAGGUAUGCGGAAUGCGUGGUGUAGCGGUGAAAUGCAUAGAUAUCACACAGAACUCCGAUUGCGAAGGCAGCAUACCGGCGCUCAACUGACGCUCAUGCACGAAAGUGUGGGUAUCGAACAGGAUUAGAUACCCGUGUAGUC